rnacentral:rRNA from 1 species
AACGAACGCUGGCGGCAGGCUUAACACAUGCAAGUCGAGCGCAUCCUUCGGGGUGAGCGGCGGACGGGUGAGUAACGCGUGGGAACGUGCCCUCUUCUACGGAAUAGCCUCGGGAAACUGAGAGUAAUGCCGUAUACGCCCGCAAGGGGAAAGAUUUAUCGGAGGAGGAUCGGCCCGCGUUGGAUUAGGUAGUUGGUGGGGUAACGGCCUACCAAGCCGACGAUCCAUAGCUGGUUUGGGAGGAUGAUCAGCCACACUGGGACUGAGACACGGCCCAGACUCCUACGGGAGGCAGCAGUGGGGAAUCUUGGACAAUGGGGGCAACCCUGAUCCAGCCAUGCCGCGUGAUCGAUGAAGGCCUUAGGGUUGUAAAGAUCUUUCAGCUGGGAAGAUAAUGACGGUACCAGCAGAAGAAGCCCCGGCUAACUCCGUG